AUUUAUUUAUUUAUUAUUAUUUUAUUCAUGUCCUCGAAGAUCCUCUACAGGGCACAGCUUUUCAUUCUCUGAAAUUGAAAUAGUGACUAUUCACUAUUUCGUAGUGCAAUGUAUACCAAACGGUAUUCUUCGCACUACCAAAUAGUGAAUAUCGCUCAUUAAAUGAUGCGUGAAAGUAUAAAAUUUAACAUUAAUCUUGUCAUCUUGUCAACAUUUUAAUCUUGUCGAUGUAUUCACAUUGUGUUUAAUAACGAUAAUUAGAAAACUCUAGAUUUAGAUCCAUAAUCAAACGAUGAGAACUAUUUUAUAUACGUAUGUUAAUACAAAUUUAUUAGUUAUCACUGCAACUAAUAUUCGCAGUUACAAAACUUUUAUAAUCCAUGAAAUGUUAAGCUAUGACAAAUAAAUAUAACAGAUGUAAGGUUAUAAUCGACGUUCAGUUCAUAAAACAAGAGAGCGCAUGAAUAUAUUAUAAAUUAAUUUAUUUUUUCAAAUAAAUGCGACUUAUAAUUUUUAAUGAGAUACUUGUGAGUCCAAAAAAUUAUAAGUCACUAUCUUAGUCGACUG